ACUGCAUCCGGGGGACGUUUUUCUGCAGAUACUCCACUCCUCGAGAGCAUGCGGGUCCGGAACGACCAGUCGGGCUGCAAAGACUCGCUUCGGCAUGGAUAGCAAGCGCUUAUUAAUGUUUAUGUUGUUGAGUGAUUAUAAUGAUAGGUGACGUAAGUCUGCUGGAAGAAUUCCUCCAAAUUUUCUCUCCUUACGGUGCCUCGUGGAGCGGUGACUAGGCCUCAUCGGCAUGGAAAUGUGGGCCGGUUGUGAACGUGGAUCCGUGGCGUGUUCCUGAGGGGAUCGGACACGUGGACGCAGAGCGAUGGCGUGCUCUCACGUGGCUUCAUGGCGGAAAGUGGCUGAAUCCCUGCAUACAGCAACAUGCAGCAGCUAUCUGAGAAAUGGACAAGCCAGCAUAUAUUACAUGAGGACGCCUAGAAGCGGAUUUUGGCCUAUCCUGUGUCUACUUCAUAUAUGUUGUACCCAUGGGAGCACAACUUUUUGAAUUAAAAACCAUUGUCAACAA